UCGAGAAUCUUCGGCAAUGGGCGCAAGCCUGACCGAGCGACGCCGCGUGCGGGAUGAAGGCCUUCGGGUUGUAAACCGCUGUCGUAGAGGAGGAAAUGUCAUGGGGUUCUCUCCAUGAUUUGACCUAUUCUAGGAGGAAGGACGGGCUAAGUUCGUGCCAGCAGCCGCGGUAAGACGAACCGUCCAAACGUUAUUCGGAAUUAUUGGGCUUAAAGGGUGCGUAGGCUGUGCAGUAAGUUGGGUGUGAAAUCCCUCGGCUCAACCGAGGAACUGCGCCGAAUACUGCUGUGCUAGAGGAAGAUAGGGGUAAGCGGAACUGAUGGUGGAGCGGUGAAAUGCGUUGAUAUCAUCAGGAACACCGGUGGCGAAGGCGGCUUACUGGAUCUUUUCUGACGCUGAUGCACGAAAGCUAGGGGAGCGAACGG
rnacentral:rRNA from 1 species